UACGUAGGUGGCGAGCGUUGUCCGGAUUUAUUGGGUUUAAAGGGUGCGCAGGCGGGGGAUUAAGUCGGCGGUGAAAUUUUGCGGCUCAACCGUAAAAGUGCCUUCGAAACUGGUUUCCUUGAGUGUAGAUGAAGUAGGCGGAAUUUGUGGUGUAGCGGUGAAAUGCAUAGAUAUCACGAGGAACUCCGAUUGCGCAGGCAGCUUACUAAACUACUACUGACGCUCAUGCACGAAGGCGUGGGGAUCAAACAGGAUUAGAUACCCUGGUAGUCCCU
rnacentral:rRNA from 1 species